CUUAAAUACUAAACCAUCAAAAUUAGGGUAGCUAUUAUUGAACGGAUUUGUAAAAGCGAAAGGUCAAAUUUCACAGCAAAAUUUAAUAAAAAAGUAAAAAGAUGGAUUUCAUUGCCAUUUACUAGUAGGAGGCGACUCGACGGAGAGGGCUCUCCCGGUAACGAUCGGUCGAGAGCCCUCCCCUACGCGUACAGUGUCCUUAUCCGCUUCUCACGCGAAAAAAAAAAAAUGAAAACCGCACGCCCGCUUGCUAUCGUCUCGUCUUCCUCCGUCCGGAUCUGAGGAAAUUUCGUCGCCAUCCUCAUGAUGCUCGACGCCGACGGCCAUCUUCGUCUCCGUCGCCGAUGCUCCGACCCGGACCCCGACCCCGACACCGCCGGCGGGGACCUCGCCGCCGUGCCGUCCGCCCGCCUCCCGCCGCCGCCCCCUUCCCCACCCUUCCGAACCACUCCUCUUCCUUGCCCCGGCCGCAUACACCGGCCACCGGAUGUCCUCCACCAUCGCCGCCCGGCCUCGCCGCCCACACCCCGCCACCUCCGCCGGGCCUGCCGCCGCCGCCAGUCAUCCCUCGAACCCCGCCGGCCAUGGAGCCCGCCCCCAGCAACCCCGAACCGGAACCUCGAACCCUAAUCUGGCGGUCUUCUCCGAUUCCGGCGAGCCAGUCAUGGAGCCGAGUUACUUUUUUGCUGUUUUAUUUAUCUGCUCUGGUGAAGAAGAAACAAAGGGGCUCUCUAUUAUAACUCUAAAUCGAGAGGCCUCUCUGUUUAGUUUUUGCGUUACUAGUAUGGUAUAUUUCAAAUAUAAAAGGUGGAAUUGCAUUCUUACCCCUACUCUCGAGUUCAAUUGUGAUUUGCUCCCUUUUUCCUAACAUUAUGAUUUUGCACCUGUCUUUUUUUUUUAUUGAAGCUACCGUUUGCCCCUGUUUUGGAGUUCUAUUGGGUGGUGCAGCCGUGCAGGAUUAAAUGAACUGGAAAAAAUAAUUGGAAUAAAAAGAGAUCAAAGUAUCACUCCCUUAUCCUAUUCCACCGACUAACCCUACCUGUUGAGUGGCGGUGGACUAGAGGGAGCGCACAGGUGGGGAAACUGGAAAGUCAUGGAAGAAGCCAAACGUGUGGCGCAGGCGAGCAUUGCAGUGGCGAUGUCCAUGAAUCCAGCCUCCCUUCACAACAGACGUAUCCAUGACAGAGCUGCAGGAGGCAGCAAACAGGUCCACUUGCCUGCAGUUUGGGUGGCGAGAAACUGCAUGAGGCUGCAGGGGACAGCAGCAUGCAGACGCCUGGGCACAUAUACCAAGCUGGAUUGAGCCCCGGUGACAUAGGGUCACGUGGUUCCAGGCUCCAGGAAGUGCCAGAUCCUAGUCACUUAGGAGAUUAUCUUUCGUGGAUUGCCUAAUCAACCUGAUCCUUCCAUAUAAAUUAGAUGCUAUCAAGGUUAAUCGUCUGCCUGACUGCUACUACUCAAAUGCAAAAGAGGACUGGCACGUGCUGUCAUCACUCAUCAGCUGGAAGGAGUUUCACAGCCCGUGUCAUUGUCAUGGAUAAUGGGGAGGUACGACGUACGUAGUCCGUCAAAAUACAACAUCUGACCAUGUGUCUACCAUGUGAUACUAUAAUGCUUGCUAUAUACAGUUUCUCCUUGAAUAUAAUACAAGUUGUGUCAAAUA